rnacentral:rRNA from 1 species
UACGUAGCAGCAAGCGUUGUUCGGAAUACUGGGCGUAAAGAGUGUGUAGGCGGUGCUCUAAGUUCGUUGUGAAAUCUCCCGGCUUAACUGGGAGGGUGCGGCGGAAACUGGAGUGCUCGAGCGUGGGAGAGGAAAGCGGAAUUCCUGGUGUAGCGGUGAAAUGCGUAGAUAUCAGGAGGUACACCUGUGGUGUAGACAGCUUUCUGGACCAUAGCUGACGCUGAGACACGAAAGCGUGGGUAGCAAACAGG